AAAAGAUUGGGGCACGGGACCAUAAAUGAAAAAGCUAAACUCCGACCUCCCAAAGGAGCUCAAGUCAUCAGGUAGAGAGACUUUAAUCUCACACAACAGCCAAAAGUACCAAAGCAUCAUGCCGAUCUCAAGAAAACGAGCGCAGUACUGGUAAACCCGAUAAGACAGACCGAAUUAAGGCAAGACGAUUCCUAAACAAACUGCAUACCAAAAUACAAAGCCAAACAGAGAAUCAGGGGUAAUCAUGAGAGGCAACGACCUCGAGAAUUGACCGCUCACACUAAACCAACUCAGCUGACCUAGAGAAAGAUCCAAGCAACAAAGAGCCCGUAAAACGCUCGAAAGAAGAUAGCCCAUAAAUACUCAGGGGCAAAAAACAUACACAAGAGUCCAACGCUCAGGCAAAAAUAAUAAAAGGCAAGAAAGGGAUACUUUCGACAGGAGCAGUUCUCAGACCACACGGUCAUAAAUAGAGUUUAAAGAUUUAUCCCCUCACCAGUCAUGGAAUAACUGCUGAGGAGAUAAAGGGGCAAUUGAUGAUCGCUGGAUUUCUUCACCCCGGUAUAAAGGCCAGACCCAUGAAAACAGUCCAUGAUCCGAAGGCUUCAAUAUUCCCCUCGAGAGCCAGGUCCAGCCCGCUCAGUCACAGGGCCGGACUCUGCCUAGACUCCUCAAUCAAACCGGCCCAAACUUCUCGGCCCAGUAAUCAGGCCCUCACCAGGCUCAACUACAGCCCUACCAUUCAACCCAGCCCGGAAAGGGGAAAAUGACCAAGAUGCCCCGCUGGUAGGUCCUUCCGCAUGCGUAUCAGAGGAGAAUCAUACGUAUCAGAGGAGAAUUAAUGGCCGUUACGCAUGGAGCAGGCGCCUGACACAUCCGUACAUACGGAGCUAGGCGACAGAAGACAGCUAGCAUUGUGGCAGAGAGACAGAUAUAUAUAUCACGGUAGAAGCCACGCAGAGGGGGCUCUCUUCUUCUUCCUUUUCCUUCCUGGACACCAUUUUUAUUCUUUCUGUAACCCUUGCCUAAAUAUACUACUCUGAGCCAUAAAAUCUGACUUGAGCGUCGG
rnacentral:lncRNA from 1 species